rnacentral:lncRNA from 1 species
GGCCUCUGAAGCUCUUCCGUUAGAACAGGGUUUGCAUGAAUCUUGAGAAGCUAAGGGUGGCUACUGGGAUUGGUUUGCCCGCCACUGUCCACUCUUCCGUCUGCCUGGGGAGAGUACGGGAGAGCACAAGCACACUGAGCUACAUUGCCACUGGGUCUUGCAACUAAGUGUUGGACGUGGGCUACAGCCCUGUGCUGCCAGGGUCUGGAACACAAGGAGGCGGGCUAUUUUCUUACUGUUUGGCUGUUCAGCUACAGGCCCCUUCACGUCCCUCUGCUCCCCCGUUGUUGGCUUCCAGGGCAGCAUCCCGGACCCCUGAGCAUCUGUGGUGGACGCAGUGGAGUUCCGGAGGACCUUGGGCUGAGGCUGCACUGCUGUGUCCUGCCUGCCGUGUUCUGGGACCUCCCCAGCACCCAGCCACAAUCAGCCCUCCAGCACCUGGGCUUCUGUCUGACUAUCAAGAAUCUGACGGGAUGGCAGCUGGGACCACGGACACGCAGCUCAGGUCCUCCUUUCCUGAUGCCUUGUUGGUGAAGAUGGUCCAGGCUGUGCGAGGGGGUCUGCUCUCCUCACGGCUUCCUGUGCUGCCGGUUCACUCUCCACCCAUCCACCUUCCACAUGCCGAGCUUUUGUAGCCAAUUCUGAGGAUACGAAGGCAUUUCAGCUACACCGUGAAGAAGGAGAAGAGUGUGAGCACUGGAGGUGAUAUUAGGAGUGGAAAAGGGCGUCUGGGUGGAGAUGUCCACCAGGAAGGAAGAGGCUCUCAGCCGUGCUGGACAUCCAGAGCACAACAGAGCUGUCAAGAUGUGCACCUGAGGACGAUCACCACAGAAACAGGACUCUGAGGACAGACACCAGCAGAUACGGGUCCACCUGAGGACAGUUACCACCGACAUGGACCCAUGAGGAUGGUCACCAGCAGACAGGGUCCCCUGAGGGCGGUCACUAGCAGACUGGGUCCACCUGAGGAUGGUCACCAGCAGACAUAAUUUCCCUGAGGAUGGUCACUAGCAGACAUGGGUCCUAGAGCUUCUGUGGGCCAGUGUCGUCCAUUCCAGACUCAUCUGCAGUUUACGUGCGCAUCCUUGUGGUCCAGGAGAACUUCUUGACCCCUCCCAUGGGCUCCCAUGGCAGCUGGCUUAUCUUCCUGCCCAGGUUGUUCAGCUUUAUCGUUCCUUGCUGAAGGUGUGCCUUUCCCAGACACACGACCAGGGCUUGGACAGUGACCUGUGGCAGGAGAUACCGUGUGGCACUUCCAGUAGUCUUCAGCAGAAAGCCCUGGACUUUUAUCCUCUGCCCUCCAUGGCACCACCUUGAACAUGGAGAGAGACUAUGCCCGGAGCUCUGGCAGCCGUCUUGCGCCCCAGGGGGAAGGCAAGUUCUAGAUGGCAAGGUGUGGACUUUGGCAAGGGGUCUGGCUUGCUGAUGGCUUUGGGGAGCUCUUUCGUUUUCUU